AUUGAACGCUGGCGGCAGGCCUAACACAUGCAAGUCGAGCGAGCGGCGGACGGGUGCGUAAUGUCUGGGAAACUGCCUGAUGGAGGGGGAUAACUACUGGAAACGGUAGCUAAUACCGCAUACCCUCAGAUGUGCCCAGAUGGGAUUAGCUAGUAGGGUGGGUAACGGCUCACCUAGGCGACGAUCCCUAGCUGGUCUGAGAGGAUGACCAGCCAGACUGGAACUGAGACUCGGUCCAGACUCCUACGGGAGGCAGAAGUGGGGAAUAUUGCACAAUGGGCGCAAGCCUGAUGCAGCCAUGCCGCGUGUGUGAAGAAGGCCGUCGGGUUGUAAAGUACUUUCAGCGGGGAGGCGUUACCCGCAGAAGAAGCACCGGCUAACUCCGUGCCAGCAGCCGCGGUAAUAC
rnacentral:rRNA from 1 species